GGACGAACGCUGGCGGCGUGCUUAACACAUGCAAGUCGAGCGGUAAGGCCCGUUCGGGGUACGACGAGCGGCGAACGGGUGAGUAACACGUGGGUGACCUGCCCUUAGCUCUGGGAUAAGCCUGGGAAACUGGGUCUAAUACCGGAUAUGACUCCAUGACGCAUGUUGUGGGGUGGAAAGCCUUGUGCGGCUAGGGAUGGGCCCGCGGCCUAU
rnacentral:rRNA from 1 species